rnacentral:antisense_RNA from 1 species
CGAAUUUGGUUACUGCGCUCCUCUAAGCCAGUUACCUCGGUUCAAAGAGUUGCUGCUCUGAGAACCUUCGAGAAAACCGCCCUGCGGGCGGUUUUUUCGU